rnacentral:rRNA from 1 species
UACGUAGGGUGCAAGCGUUGUCCGGAAUUAUUGGGCGUAAAGAGCUCGUAGGCGGUUUGUUGCGUCGGCUGUGAAAUCCCGAGGCUCAACCUCGGGUCUGCAGUCGAUACGAGCAAACUAGAGUGUUGCAGGGGAGACUGGAAUUCCUGGUGUAGCGGUGAAAUGCGUAGAUAUCGGAAGGAACAUCAGUGGCGAAAGCGACUUCCUGGACCAAUACUGACGCUCAUGUGCGAAAGCGUGGGGAGCAAACAGG